rnacentral:rRNA from 1 species
UCGAGGGGUAUAGGUUUUCGGACCUAGAGACCGGCGCACGGGUGCGUAACGCGUAUGCAAUCUACCUUUUACAGAGGGAUAGCCCAGAGAAAUUUGGAUUAAUACCUCAUAGUAUUAUUGAAUGGCAUCAUUUAAUAAUUAAAGUUCCAACGGUAAAAGAUGAGCAUGCGUCCCAUUAGCUUGUUGGUAAGGUAACGGCUUACCAAGGCAACGAUGGGUAGGGGUCCUGAGAGGGAGAUCCCCCACACUGGUACUGAGACACGGACCAGACUCCUACGGGAGGCAGCAGUGAGGAAUAUUGGUCAAUGGGCGCAAGCCUGAACCAGCCAUGCCGCGUGCAGGAUGAAGCAUCUAUGGUGUGUAAACUGCUUUUGUACGAGAAGAAACACUCCUUCGUGAAGGAGCUUGACGGUAUCGUAAGAAUAAGGACCGGCUAACUCCGUGCCAGCAGCCGCGGUAAUACGGAGGGUCCAAGCGUUAUCCGGAAUCAUUGGGUUUAAAGGGUCCGUAGGCGGUUUUGUAAGUCAGUGGUGAAAGCCCAUCGCUCAACGGUGGAACGGCCAUUGAUACUGCAAGACUUGAAUUAUUGGGAAGCAACUAGAAUAUGUAGUGUAGCGGUGAAAUGCUUAGAGAUUACAUGGAAUACCAAUUGCGAAGGCAGGUUGCUACCAAUACAUUGA